UGCCACUAAGGCUAAUCUUUGUACAUCUCAUUGACAUGAUGAUGAUUUUUUUUAUUUUUUUUUAUUUUUUUCUACAAUGUGUAGCGAAUAAUAGGGUCACAGGAGACACUCCUACCGCCUCGUUUCCACAAUGUGUGAUCAUUCCCUUCAGACUUAGAAUAAUGGGGUCAUAGGAGACACUCCUAUCCCUCUGCCUCUUCCAGGAAAUCAUUUCAAUCUUUUCUUUAUACUUUGAUCUUUGAGAUGCUAAAGAGAGAGAAGGAAGGGAACCAAAAGUGUACAGACUUUUACCUUCCAGACUUGCAGGAGGAUUCCAAUCCCUUGUAUACCAAGCCCCAAGACAAGCAAAAGAUGUCAGGUUAGGUUGGAAAUCAGCUUUGGUUCUUCCAGACAAUCAUAAAAAGUGUUGUCAUAGCUGACAGAUUGGUCCACUUUAGUAUGUUUAGUACUAUCUGCAAUCAGUAAGUCUAGAAUGGGGCAAAAGAGUGGUUAGAUAACAAGGAUAAAUCGAAUUAGAUCAUCAUCCCCUUCUUGACU
rnacentral:lncRNA from 1 species